rnacentral:rRNA from 1 species
CGGGUGGUAAUGCCGGAUGCUCCGGUUGGAUGCAUGUCCUUCCGGGAAAGGUUCCAUCGGUAUGGGAUGGGGUCGCGUCCUAUCAGCUUGAUGGCGGGGUAACGGCCCACCAUGGCUUCGACGGGUAGCCGGCCUGAGAGGGCGACCGGCCACAUUGGGACUGAGAUACGGCCCAGACUCCUACGGGAGGCAGCAGUGGGGAAUAUUGCACAAUGGGCGCAAGCCUGAUGCAGCGACGCCGCGUGCGGGAUGGAGGCCUUCGGGUUGUAAACCGCUUUUGAUCGGGAGCAAGCCCUUCGGGGUGAGUGUACCUUUCGAAUAAGCACCGGCUAACUACGUGCCAGCAGCCGCGGUAAUACGUAGGGUGCAAGCGUUAUCCGGAAUUAUUGGGCGUAAAGGGCUCGUAGGCGGUUCGUCGCGUCCGGUGUGAAAGCCCAUCGCUUAACGGUGGGUCUGCGCCGGGUACGGGCGGGCUGGAGUGCGGUAGGGGAGACUGGAAUUCCCGGUGUAACGGUGGAAUGUGUAGAUAUCGGAAAAGAACACCA